GUAGGGAAUAUUGGACAAUGGGCGAAAGCCUGAUCCAGCAAUGCCGCGUGAGUGAUGAAGGCCUUAGGGUUGUAAAGCUCUUUUACCAGGGAUGAUAAUGACAGUACCUGGAGAAUAAGCUCCGGCUAACUCCGUGCCAGCAGCCGCGGUAAUACGGAGGGAGCUAGCGUUGUUCGGAAUUACUGGGCGUAAAGCGCGCGUAGGCGGCGAUUUAAGUCAGAGGUGAAAGCCCGGGGCUCAACCCCGGAAUAGCCUUUGAGACUGGAUUGCUAGAAUCCUGGAGAGGUGAGUGGAAUUCCGAGUGUAGAGGUGAAAUUCGUAGAUAUUCGGAGGAACACCAGUGGCGAAGGCGGCUCACUGGCUCGAUACUGACGCUGAGGUGCGAAAGCGUGGGGAGCAAACAGGAUUAGAAACCCUGGUAGUCC
rnacentral:rRNA from 1 species